rnacentral:piRNA from 2 species
UUAUAGUCAGCAAGUGUGCCGGCAACUC